rnacentral:rRNA from 1 species
AAUGGACGAAAGUCUGAUCCAGCAAUGCCGCGUGCAGGACGAAGGCCUUCGGGUUGUAAACUGCUUUUGUACAGAACGAAAAAGUCUUUAAUAACACUAGAGGCUCAUGACGGUACUGUAAGAAUAAGCACCGGCUAACUACGUGCCAGCAGCCGCGGUAAUACGUAGGGUGCAAGCGUUAAUCGGAAUUACUGGGCGUAAAGCGUGCGCAGGCGGUUAUAUAAGACAGAUGUGAAAUCCCCGGGCUCAACCUGGGACCUGCAUUUGUGACUGUAUAGCUAGAGUACGGUAGAGGGGGAUGGAAUUCCGCGUGUAGCAGUGAAAUGCGUAGAUAUGCGGAGGAACACCGAUGGCGAAGGCAAUCCCCUGGACCUGUACUGACGCUCAUGCACGAAAGCGUGGGGAGCAAA